rnacentral:rRNA from 1 species
UACGUAGGUCCCGAGCGUUGUCCGGAUUUAUUGGGCGUAAAGCGAGCGCAGGUGGUUUAUUAAGUCUGGUGUAAAAGGCAGUGGCUCAACCAUUGUAUGCAUUGGAAACUGGUAGACUUGAGUGCAGGAGGGGAGAGUGGAAUUCCAUGUGUAGCGGUGAAAUGCGUAGAUAUAUGGAGGAACACCGGUGGCGAAAGCGGCUCUCUGGCCUGUAACUGACACUGAGGCUCGAAGGCGUGGGGAGCAAACAGG